AAUCAACGCUGGCGGCGUGCCUAACACAUGCAAGUCGAACGAGAAAGUGGAGCAAUCCAUGAGUAAAGUGGCGACCGGGUGAGUAACACGUGACUAACCUACCCUUGAGUGGGGAAUAACCUUCCGAAAGGAGGGCUAAUACCGCAUAAAGUCCUAAGGAUGAAACGCCUAAGGACCAAAGGAGUAAUUCGCUUUAGGAGGGGGUCGCGGUUGAUUAGCUAGUUGGCGGGGUAAGUGGCCCACCAAGGCGAUGANCAAUAGCCGGCCUGAGAGGGCGCACGGCCACACUGGAACUGAAACACGGUCCAGACUCCUACGGGAGGCAGCAGUGGGGAAUUUUGCGCAAUGGGGGAAACCCUGACGCAGCAACGCCGCGUGAAGGAUGAAGGUCUUUGGAUUGUAAACUUCUUUCGAUCGGGAAGAUAAUGACGGUACCGAGAGAAGAACGCCCCGGCUAACUUCGUGCCAGCAGCCGCUGUAA
rnacentral:rRNA from 1 species